GUGCUAGAAACGAUGAUGUUGGUCCCGCACAUGUAACUAGUGUUAAAAUAGAGCUUUGCUCGUAAACCAAAUCAGGUGGACUUGGUUAACCUUGCGGAAAUGCUGGGUUGGCUUGUCUACGAAUUGUAAUAAUUAUAUGCGCGGGGGUGAAUCCUUUGCAGACGACUUGAAUGGGAACGGGGUACUGUAAGCGGUAGAGUAGCCUUGUUGCUACGAUCCGCUGAGGUUAAGCCCUUGUUCUAAAGAUUUGUUCAACUAUGUUGGACUCUUUCUUUUUCUAACGGAAUAAAUACCUGAGGGCCGGCUCCAGAGAACUUUGAAUAUGUGAGUGUUCUGUUCCUUGGAAUAGUCACUGUGAUGACUCGCAUUCUCUUCCCCGUCUUACACGACUAUGAGGAGGUAUAAGAGUUGUCUAUUGUUCGCGCAAUAGACUCUAUAACAGUGCACUUGCCAGUGCCAUUCAGUCUGACUCUUUAUCAAUGAGGUCAUCAGCAAUGAAACUGACUUCGGAGUUCUCAUUUCUAGUGUCUAUUGAUGGAGUCUUUAUUGGGGGAGGAUCACAUUUAACCGGUGAGUUGACUGUGUUUAAAUUGGACUUGUGUACGGAUGAAACACUUCCUACAUUCGCAGUUUCUAACUCUAGUGUUCUCCGUGACCCGGGGUACUCCUCCAAUACCUAAUGUCUAUUAUUCCCCCUUUGUGAUGUUGAACCCAUUGACUCACAAAGCUUGUGGGCCGCCAUUAGGGUGCGCUGGGCAAAAGGUGGGGGUCAACACAAUGAGAGCUCAAUGUGACCUUCCUUUGGAUGUCUGACCUUUAAUGAAGUGCUUGGAAAUUGAAGUCAGUUUACUGACUACAAAAGUCUAGGUCAAAACCUGGUCACAAAGGGUACUGAUAUCCACGGCCAUAGGACUCUGAAAGC
rnacentral:misc_RNA from 1 species